CGGAGAGUUUGAUCCUGGCUCAGGAUGAACGCUGGCGGCGUGCCUAAUACAUGCAAGUCGAACGCACAGCGAAAGGUGCUUGCACCUUUCAAGUGAGUGGCGAACGGGUGAGUAACACGUGGACAACCUGCCUCAAGGCUGGGGAUAACAUUUGGAAACAGAUGCUAAUACCGAAUAAAACUCAGUGUCGCAUGACACAAAGUUAAAAGGCGCUUUGGCGUCACCUAGAGAUGGAUCCGCGGUGCAUUAGUUAGUUGGUGGGGUAAAGGCCUACCAAGACAAUGAUGCAUAGCCGAGUUGAGAGACUGAUCGGCCACAUUGGGACUGAGACACGGCCCAAACUCCUACGGGAGGCUGCAGUAGGGAAUCUUCCACAAUGGGCGAAAGCCUGAUGGAGCAACGCCGCGUGUGUGAUGAAGGCUUUCGGGUCGUAAAGCACUGUUGUAUGGGAAGAACAGCUAGAAUAGGGAAUGAUUUUAGUUUGACGGUACCAUACCAGAAAGGGACGGCUAAAUACGUGCCAGCAGCCGCGGUAAUACGUAUGUCCCGAGCGUUAUCCGGAUUUAUUGGGCGUAAAGCGAGCG
rnacentral:rRNA from 1 species